CACAUUGUUUUUUUUUCUUUUUCCUCUAGAAAGAUAAAAACGAACUGACGCUAACACACACACACACACACACACACACACACACACACCCCACUAUCAGAUUUAAAUGGCUGUCUCUCUUGUCAUUAGCUAUGCUUUGGGCUUACCAAGUAUCUAUUGACCCUAAUCACAGUAAUAGAAUUCCCCUUUCCCUCAACAUCAGCAGGAGGUCAGUGAACUCUGUCUGAUUCCUUACGAAGACUUAAACCACAUUCUUGAACACCAACAUCACCAACCGUGCAUUUCGGCAGCAACAAAAUAUAUGGCACUGCUGUUCCUUCCUCCUCCUAACUUCCAUUCUUUGUCAAGGCACAAGGAAUGAAUGUUCAGAUGUGGAAUCAGAACAGGGAUUUAAAAUACAUCCCUGAAAAUUUUUCCUUGAUCCUGGCCAAAUCCCAGAAGCGGAUAUAAUAUUUAUAGCGGCAUCACACAGACCACAUAGGAUCUCAUACUGCUCUAUAACGUCUAGGAGCAGCCCUCAUUCAGAGUCACAGAAAAAAAGAAAUGCUAGGGGCUGGGGAUUUAGCUCAGCGGUAGAGCGCUUGCCUAGGAAGCGCAAGGCCCUGGGUUCGGUCCCCAGCUCCAAAAAAAAAAAAAGAACCAAAAAAACCAAACAAACAAACAAACAAACAAACAAACAAAAAAAACGAUGUUGAGGGGCUGGGGAUUUAGCUCAGUGGUAGAGCGCUUACCUAGGAAGCGCAAGGCCCUGGGUUCGGUCCCCAGCUCCAAAAAAAAAAAGAACCAAAAAAAAAAAAAAAGAAAAAAAAAGAAAAAAGAAAAGAAAUGCUAGACAGGACAGGCAAGUGGCUUCAUCCUAUAGCUCGGCCACCUUCCCGCAGGCUAAGCUCUCGUGAUGGACGUUCCCACUGGAUCCACCCAUUUACACAGCUGCAAAGGGUUCUGGGUAAACCAGUCUGCGCCUUCCUGCUCAGCCUUGUCCUUUGUCACCGGUCACCAACAGUCUCGUUUACUUCACAUUCCUCCAUGCAUACCCUUCAUCACGUUAAACAUGCAGCCGGACUUACCUGACAGUUAGCCUGAUGUAUUUUUCACACAAGCCAGGUAGGGAUAGAAUAGGAAAGAAAACACAUGAGAGGGUGUGAGAAAGAAAAGCAACCGUUUCAACAGUUCGCCGAACCGCGACAAAUCGAAAGGCAAGACUAGAAGAGAGCACGUGCUAUGUGCUGGUUUGGGCAAAGCAGUGGCUGGACUCAUGAACAGAGAAGGCGAGGGCACCACAGGCUGUUGACUGGACUGAGUGUGAAGAACUCUUUGUGAAGCGUAACAGUGGAUCUCAGCCAAUCACCUCCCUCAUCUCUUGCUAUGAGUAUUUUUUCCCUGGCCAGACCUAUUUGUAACCUGAAACAAUCUAUCGCUACAUUAAGAUGAAAAUACCAGUAUUUUAUUGAGUAGUAA